GACAGAGGGUGCAAACGUUGUUCGGAAUUACUGGGCGUAAAGCGCGUGUAGGCGGUUCGGAAAGUCGGAUGUGAAAGCCCUGGGCUCAACCCAGGAAGUGCACUCGAAACUCCCGAACUGGAGUCCUGGAGAGGAAGGCGGAAUUCUCGGUGUAGAGGUGAAAUUCGUAGAUAUCGAGAGGAACAUCGGUGGCGAAGGCGGCCUUCUGGACAGCGACUGACGCUGAGACGCGAAAGCGUGGGGAGCAAACAGG
rnacentral:rRNA from 1 species